AAAGAAAUAUUACUGAAAUUUAUCCAAAAAGAAUUAUCCAAAUUUGGAAUUGUGAUUGCAAACUAGUGGGCUUGGCAUAUGAUAGGCUUGAUUUUUAAAGGAUUUCUGUUAAAGAAUUUUUGUUUCAAAGAGGACUAUAAAUUACAAGUCAAUGACAGCAGCAGGAGCUUCUCGGAAUGGUUCCUGCUUAUGUUUCUAUCUAUUGAAAUGACAUAAUAUAUUAGGACAUGCAAUAUCCAUUUGGCUUAUAUAUCCUUGCAUGAAGAAUAUGGAAGUCAUUCUAUUCAAGCACUCUCUGGUGAUUGGAUGUUGAUUUUUUUUUCAAAGUGGGAAAACCAGUGUGCAUCUAGAAAGCACCAGAACCUAAUGUCCUGACUUCAGCCAAGACCAGAUCCUUAAGAAAAAAUGUGUAAGAACAAUCCCUUUAUAUUCACUCCAAGCUGCAAGAUUUUUGAAUGGAAUGCCUCAUCAUAGGUUCUUCUGAAGUACUGCACUUUUGAUGCUAAGCACUGCAGAAGCUCCUGUAGAAGAAGGCUGGAGAAAGAAACAGGCAGGAAUGACAGAGAAAACUGAAGACAGCGGAGCCUAAUGGAGCGCAAAAUGAAUUUUCUCUGCCAGGGGCAGCAUUUGGCAAGAAGGAAAAUCUGUAACUAUUUUGAGGCUACAGAAUUUGGGACCUUUAGGGCUCUGUUUUUCUAUCAAAUAAAGUCGCCUUGCCCAAUUACACUAAAUAUUUCAACCUACUAGUUAACACCAAGCGACAGUAAAAAUGAAGACAAAAAGCAGAAUACUAAUGCAGAAGACACAAAAAAGUACUCAUUAUAGCAGCCAAACUUGCAAAAAUAUAACAUAAGAGAGCUUCGUAAAUUUCCUGGAGCUAUAGCUACUAACUAAACUUUAGGAAAUCUGAGACUAUAAUGCGCAUUCAAAAUAUGUACUAACUAGCAGCAUGAUAAGAUUUAAGAACAAUGAAGGAUGGCUGAAGCUUUAGGUAGUACUAGAAAGAGAACUAUAAAAAGUGAGGAGGAAGAAGGGAGAAUAGAAUGAGGAGGGAUAGAAACAGAGAGAAAAGAGGAUUGUGGCAUACAGACUGUCAAGGGAACAGACUUGGAACCUGGCAGUAGAAGGAAAGGGGAUUAACAAGGAGGGAAAGAAUAUAGAAGGAAUAAAAAUGUGAGUAGCAAAAAAACAGAAGAAAAAAAGAUUGAAUAAAUAUGAGACGUAUUUUCUUUUUCUUUGAGAACUGAGUUUCCAUGCAGAGUUGUGAGUAUCAUAAAAGCAAAUCCCCAGUGAUUUUGCAUGGAAAAAAUUAAUAUAAAGCAGUGUUGCUUUUUUUCUUGACAUAGAUAUUGUUAUCCUCUUAUUUGUUCAAUGCUGUGCUUUCGGUGUAGAUUUGGACCUCAGAGUGCUGCUAACACCAGCUCUUCUGUUUUAUCUGGAAGCAAUUUCAGAAGCUAUCCCAUUAAUGCUUUUGCUACCUUUCAGAAAAUUCUUUCCUCAGGGACAUUCAAGUUUGUACUGGCAGACAAAGUUUUAAGGAUCUGGCUACCGUUAUCACUGUAUUGUGAUUUUAACAUAUGUAGAGCAGAAAGAGUUAAUAAAGCACAUAUGAAUAGUACUAAUGUUGAUGAGAGCUCCCAGUAUCCUGAUGUUUCAUGAAAAUACUUUCAAUAUAGAACUCACAAAAUGCAUGAGAGCUUUUUUUAAAUUGGUUAAAUCUCUUCCGAGACUUCAAGUAUAUAUUUUUGUUAUUGUAACAGCAUUGCCUGGCAUAGUUAUGAAGCAUUCAUAGCCAGCUGUGAGACUUAGUAUAACUUUUAUAUAUGUAUUUAUGAUAACAUUUAUUUUUUAUAUAAUAGUAUGAUUCAGAUGAUGAGAGGAAAACUAGGAAAUUCCCAUUUUAUAUGUAUUUUUUCAGCUGCACUCAUCUUUAAUUUAAUCUCAUAAAUUUUCUUUAUAUAAGUAGAAAAACAUGAAUUAUAGAAAACACUAUUUUGUUACAAUAGCAAGUAAGUUGUACAUGACUUAUUUAAGACAUGACAUAUAUAAGACAACAUGACUUGAUUCUGCCAUCCAUUUAGGGAUAUAAAGAAGUCAGGGGCAGAGAUAACAGGGUAAGGCAUAGUUGAGAAAAUGUAACAGAAUAUUAGCUCUCCUCCUUAGUGUCUUGGCCAAUCACUCUUUGAUCAAACAAUGAAAUAGGUUCUUUCCAAUGUUAUUUUAGUGCAUUAAUUUGAAAUGGAGCUAGGCAGAAUGUGUGAAGCAGGGAACUAGUUUCUUUGUGCCUUCAGUGAGCAACCUCUGGUUGUAGAGUUUUGUAUGAGCAGAGCUCACCACUUCUCACCGGUACCCUAUACGGCUUCAAGUGAAAGAAUUUUUUGCCGGUGACAGCUUCAGAUCUAAAGAUCCUUCAAAAAUGACUCAUGGAAGUACGGGCUGGAGUGUAGUCUAUGCUACGCUCUGUGAUGUUGUUCAAAGAAGUUUGCAGAAGUUCCUCUGGCAAAGCUCAAGAAAUAAUGCAACUGAGUGCCCUUCCCUAUAAUGAACAGCGGAGAAGUACGAUCAAUUAACUAAAAAGAAAAAAAAGUUAAUAACUCAGGAGGAUAAAUUGAACCCAGGGAAAUGGGAAAAUGAAGACAGUACCUCAGUGAUAUGGACAUUCUGAGUGGAGUAAAAUCAUUGAGUGUGAUAGAGAUCAAAGGAUUUAUUGCCUCCUGUCUAAUAGAAAUGGAGGGAUUUAUUGCCCCCCAAACCUGUGGCUUCCAGAAGAAUGUACUUACCCCAGUGUCUGCUAAAUGUGGAUAAAUUCCUUCCCUCACAAACCUCUAAAAUGUGGAAAGAUUUACUUCCUUCUGAAUGGUCUGCCUCAAAUAAGCAGCUACAAAGUAUGCCCCAGAUGGUGUAUUUUCCUUCUCUUUAUGGAGAAAAUUUCAGAGAAGAACCCUAAAAGCAAAUAAACAUUUUAUUCUGAGUUUAAAAAAUGCAACUUAGGGAAGGAAGUAAAAGGUUAUGAAUGUUCAGGAAGAGUUUUGAGAUAAGAUAUUAUUCAAAUACAAUGUCAUAAAGCAAUGUACUAUGAUGAUUCUAAAGCAAGAUUAUGAAAUAUGUAGGUAUUUAAUUUUAUGUUGAACUUUACAGUAUACUAAGAUAAUUGCAUAAAGUAGCUGUGAUUACCUAAUGGAAUACAUAAGGUGAGAUUCACAGGGACCUACAUUUGUCCCACCGCACUGGGAAAUCAGACAAACAUUCAGGAACCAAAGAUCUACUUCUGAACUAAGAGAAACAGCAAACAUCAAGCAGUAGUGCUGCAGUUUCUAUUACAAACACGUAAAAAACUUUUGUGUGCCCAAAAUCAAGUCUGCAUUUUUCCAACUACAUCAUUGGGCCAAUAAAAUAUAUUUACUCUGUCCAUAAAUCUUUCCUUGCUAUCAUGAAAAUGUUAGAACAUGUUUAAAGCUUUCAGAUGUUGCUGGUUGUUAUGUAAUAAAGAAGUUGAUUAUACAUAAAAUACUGCUUAUGUGGAAUAGCAGUUGGGUUCAAAGUAUCUGUAACUUCAGAGACUAUGAGGAUAAAUGAGAGCUUCACCAAAAAAUAGAAGCUGAAGCUGAGCAUGCCUCCAGCUAAGCAGUUGUGUCUGCUAUCUGGCUUUCCAAAUCAAUUCCCAGCUGCCUAGUGUUAUUAAAGGCCAGAAAGGUGGAAGUGCACCACACAGGCACUUGGCCAGGAUCUUCUUUGCCCUUAAACUUUGUUACAAGAAUACUGAAGUUGUGGUAGUGGUGU